AUUGAACGCUGGCGGCAGGCCUAACACAUGCAAGUCGAACGAGUGGCGGACGGGCGAGUAGGGGCUGGGAAAGUGGCUGAUCGAGGGAGAUAACGAGUGUAACCGGUGGCUAAUACCGCUUACCAUCGGUUGUGCCGAGGUGGGAUUAGCUAGUGGGUGGGGUAACGGCUCACGUCGGCGACGAUCCCUAGCUGGGCUGAGAGGAUGACCAGCCACACUGGAACUGAGACACGGUCCAGACUCCUACGGGAGGCAGCAGUGGGGAAUAUUGCACAAUGGGCGCAAGCCUUAUGGAGCCAUGCCGCGUGUAUGAAGAAGGCCUUCGGGUUGUAAAGUACUUUCAGCGAGGAGGCGUUACUCGAAGAAGAAGCACCGGCUAACUCCGUGCCAGCAGCCGCGGUAAUUC
rnacentral:rRNA from 1 species